GUGUCAGCCGCCGCGGUAAUACAGAGGGUGCAAGCGUUAAUCGGAAUUACUGGGCGUAAAGCGCGCGUAGGCGGCUAAGUAAGUCGGGUGUGAAAGCCCCGGGCUCAACCUGGGAACUGCAUUCGAUACUGUUUAGCUAGAGUAUGAGAGAGGGAGGUAGAAUUCCACGUGUAGCGGUGAAAUGCGUAGAUAUGUGGAGGAAUACCGGUGGCGAAGGCGGCCUCCUGGUUCAAUACUGACGCUGAGGUGCGAAAGCGUGGGGAGCAAACAGGAUUAGAAACCCCGGUAGUCC
rnacentral:rRNA from 1 species